rnacentral:rRNA from 1 species
CCUGGCUCAGGAUGAACGCUGGCGGCGUGCCUAAUACAUGCAAGUCGAGCGAAUGGAUUAAGAGCUUGCUCUUAUGAAGUUAGCGGCGGACGGGUGAGUAACACGUGGGUAACCUGCCCAUAAGACUGGGAUAACUCCGGGAAACCGGGGCUAAUACCGGAUAACAUUUUGAACUGCAUGGUUCGAAAUUGAAAGGCGGCUUCGGCUGUCACUUAUGGAUGGACCCGCGUCGCAUUAGCUAGUUGGUGAGGUAACGGCUCACCAAGGCAACGAUGCGUAGCCGACCUGAGAGGGUGAUCGGCCACACUGGGACUGAGACACGGCCCAGACUCCUACGGGAGGCAGCAGUAGGGAAUCUUCCGCAAUGGACGAAAGUCUGACGGAGCAACGCCGCGUGAGUGAUGAAGGCUUUCGGGUCGUAAAACUCUGUUGUUAGGGAAGAACAAGUGCUAGUUGAAUAAGCUGGCACCUUGACGGUACCUAACCAGAAAGCCACGGCUAACUACGUGCCAGCAGCCGCGGUAAUACGUAGGUGGCAAGCGUUAUCCGGAAUUAUUGGGCGUAAAGCGCGCGCAGGUGGUUUCUUAAGUCUGAUGUGAAAGCCCACGGCUCAACCGUGGAGGGUCAUUGGAAACUGGGAGACUUGAGUGCAGAAGAGGAAAGUGGAAUUCCAUGUGUAGCGGUGAAAUGCGUAGAGAUAUGGAGGAACACCAGUGGCGAAGGCGACUUUCGGU